rnacentral:rRNA from 1 species
AACGAACGCUGGCGGCAGGCCUAACACAUGCAAGUCGAGCGCCCUUUCGGGGGAGCGGCGGACGGGUGAGUAACGCGUGGGAAUAUGCCCUUCUCUACGGAAUAGCCUCGGGAAACUGAGAGUAAUACCGUAUACGCCCUACGGGGGAAAGAUUUAUCGGGGAAGGAUUAGCCCGCGUUGGAUUAGGUAGUUGGUGGGGUAAUGGCCUACCAAGCCGACGAUCCAUAGCUGGUUUGAGAGGAUGAUCAGCCACACUGGGACUGAGACACGGCCCAGACUCCUACGGGAGGCAGCAGUGGGGAAUCUUAGACAAUGGGGGCAACCCUGAUCUAGCCAUGCCGCGUGAGUGAUGAAGGCCUUAGGGUUGUAAAGCUCUUUUCAGCUGGGAAGAUAAUGAACGGUACCAGCAGAAAGA